rnacentral:rRNA from 1 species
AUCCCCCAUAGGCCUGAGGUACUGGAAGGUCCUCAGGCCGAAAGGGGCUCUGCCCGCCCGAGGAUGGGCCGGCGGCCGAUUAGGUAGUUGGUGGGGUAACGGCCCACCAAGCCGAAGAUCGGUACGGGCCAUGAGAGUGGGAGCCCGGAGAUGGACACUGAGACACGGGUCCAGGCCCUACGGGGCGCAGCAGGCGCGAAACCUCCGCAAUGCGGGCAACCGCGACGGGGGGACCCCCAGUGCCGUGGCAACGCCACGGCUUUUCCGGAGUGUAAAAAGCUCCGGGAAUAAGGGCUGGGCAAGGCCGGUGGCAGCCGCCGCGGUAAUACCGGCGGCCCGAGUGGUGGCCGCUAUUAUUGGGCCUAAAGCGUCCGUAGCCGGGCCCGUAAGUCCCUGGCGAAAUCCCACGGCUCAACCGUGGGGCUUGCUGGGGAUACUGCGGGCCUUGGGACCGGGAGAGGCCGGGGGUACCCCUGGGGUAGGGGUGAAAUCCUAUAAUCCCAGGGGGACCGCCAGUGGCGAAGGCGCCCGGCUGGAACGGGUCCGACGGUGAGGGACGAAGGCCAGGGGAGCGAACCGGAUUAGAUACCCGGGUAGUCCUGGCUGUAAAGGAUGCGGGCUAGGUGUCGGGCGAGCUUCGAGCUCGCCCGGU